rnacentral:lncRNA from 1 species
GGUCACAGUGGGGGUGUAGGACCAGGAACUGGCAGGAGCACUGUAGCCCAGGCCCCUCAGAGGCACGCCCUCAGCCACACCUUCAUUUUCUGUGAUCUUAGUUUUGAGUGAGGAAUGCAUUUUGAUGUACCUUAAUUGUUCUUAAACGCAUAUUAAGGUCUGUUAUCCAGAAAUCUAUUCCACCUUUCCCUGAAGCCCUUGUAGGUUAGGUAUUGGCUUCAUAAGCUAUCCUUCCUGACCCUGGUGGCCAGUACGUAACUCCAGGUUAUUCCGUCUUUGUGCCUAUCCUGUCCCAGUGGACCUUGAGGCGUGGUCUCGCUUGGUCUCUGUGCUCUGCCAUCUUCGCAGUGGCAGCGCCGUCCUCUGAGAGCUCCCCUGGAAGUCCCUGGACCUUGGAAGCCUGGCGGGGAGUGGCCAGUGUCCAGGGAGUGGGAGGCAGCCCUUCUCUGCGGGCCUGUCACAAGCAAGGAAACCUUCCUAGAAGUGUCUAGCUGACUCUCUGCAGGUCUCCUUGGCCAGGAGUUGGUCAGGUGUCCCUUUAGCCAGGAGAAUGGGACUGUCCAGGCUGCUCAGCUGCAUCAGGAUUGAACUUGAUCCCUGGCAGAGGGGUGCACCCUACAGAACCUGCGCCUGCCAGCAGGGAGGGAGCUGUCGCUCCUGGGGCUGCAGUUCUGCCACCAGCCUUCCCAACCAGGACUCAGAGAACCUGGACCAUUAUAUUUCUCCAGUGCUGCAUCACAGGCAAAAUAUGUGUCCUUUUCUUUCUAUGUUAUGAUAAUUAGGGAAUGAGAAGCUGAUGACCUUGGGCCUCUAUUGCCCAUCAUCUGAGCUGGACCCAGCUGGGCCAUGUGCAGACCUUGCUCCCGAUAAAUUGGACCUUAGAGUCGGAAGCGUUAGUAAAGGCUUCCCUCUGUUUUACAAAGAGGGAAACUGAGGCUCAAGCUGCCGGGAGCGGGGGUGGGACCUUAUAGCUCCUUUAGCUGAAGCUUUGGGUGCCUCACAUCCUUCCUACUUUGGGGACUCCUAGUCUCCCUGCCCCAGGCAGUCACUGCUAUUGUGCACUUAAGUUUCUCUCUCUGUUAAAACCUCCUCGGGAGCUAAAGAACCAAAUAGCAGUCAUUUAUAGCCUAGCGCGAAUGUCAGAUAUUUCGCCCAAGUCUUCUCGAAUCCUUGAAAGGCAUUUUGAGCUUUAUUAACAGGUGUAGGGUGACUGGGGUAGUGGCCAGGAGACCUCGAAUUCUCUUCUGGGUCCUCUGUGUCUUGUCCCCAGGAGGUGUCUCUCCUGUGCUCUGUCUCCCGGGGGGCAGUCCCCCACAACCAUCCCAACAGCCACCGCUCGGGGACAAAGGGAAGAGCAUCCCGCCCCACCUGGCCUUGACCCUUCUUUUAACCGAAAAGUGUUUUGUGAGUAAACUCCAGGCUCUGCCGUCUCCCCCCAGGUCAGAGGUGAGGGGAGGCUCGCGGGCAACCGGCUGCAGCUCCCAUGGGGGCCCCAAGCCCCACAGGUGACGUCUGACACGUGCCCCCUCCCAGGCAGACGUCCCUCUCCAUGCGGAGAUGCCUUGUUUCUGGAAGUCGAAUGCAUGAUCCCAGAGACCCAGGAAGUGCUAUUUGUACUCCACACGUUUCCUUUAUUCUGUGCAGGAAGAAUCCUGGGGUCCCAUCAAAGUCCCCUAGAGUGUCUAGGAAGUGACUUGAUUGCCACUCUGAGGGUUGUUUGAAGCGAAGUGUGGAUAGUGUUUGCCCCAAAGCAGGGAUCCUCUGAGCUGUUCAGAUGGAAGCAGCAUUAGGGUGGAAAAGGGACAGGUGGGCUAAGAAGGUGGUGCCAGUGGCACACCUGACAACUUGUCUUGUGCCCCCCCCAUGCCACUCAAUGUGGCUUCAGGCCCACUCCUUCCAGUCCCAAGUGCUCUCAUCCCAGUGCUGUUGGCUUUCUGGCUGAGACUGCUCGUCAUUGGGGUCUGUUCCCCCCAUGGGGGCUCUAGAGCCUUGGCUGCCCCCCACUCAGUUCCCCAGCCAGGCUGGUGACAGCCAGGUGCCCCACUCCCUGCUGCCAGCCUCAGGGGACAUCCUGCUCAUGGGACACAGAGCUAGUUCAGGGUCAGGACUCUGGUGCCUGACCUGGUCCCAGGCUUGAGCCUGUCCUUGAUUUGCUCUGUUUUUAGGGCCAUUUUCUGAAUCUUCCUUAUGUCAUCCACCUGGACCCACACAGGUUCCCUCAACCGAUGGAGGGAGCAUGGGUGCCCCCGGACUUCUGUGGAUCCCGCAUCUCGGCAUCGAGUGUGUCCUCACAGCCGAGGGAUCACUGAGCAGAAUCCAGGCGGUGGGGGCCCCAUCCUGUAGGGUCUCCGUGUCAGGCCUGCCCCUCACCCAUCUCAGGGCCAGGCCUGGGCUCUGUUCCCAGGGCCCGGGCCACCGUGACGUCUGCAUAACACACUUCAAAGGGGCACAGGGCUGGGGAGGCCUGGCUGUUUCUUGGACAUCAAACAGCGCUUGCAAAAUAGUUAAUGACUUAUGAAUGAAUCAGAACCAGACGGAUUCAAUUUCCCCCAGAAUGCAUCCUGAAGACCUCUUACACAUACCCACCCCCGAGAACACUCAGCCCUCCCCGGGGAUGCGGUCUUGGCCACAGGGGCUGGGGGCUGGGGAAGCCAGUGUGCUUUUAGCCCAUGAGACUCCCCAGCUCCUCAUUCCUUCCUUUCUCCUGGUUGCCACUCUUCCUAGAAGGAGAUCACCCAUCAGAGCCCUGUCAAAGGGCUGAGUGACAUCAGACCAUGGGCUCUGUGGUUAGGCUGGGAGGCCGUGUAUAAGUUCAAGUCACUCUCCUGCCCAUCCGUCCUGGCGGUGGUCGGGUCUAAGUGUCACCUUGGGCCUCAUGCUCCACUGUCACCCUGGGCCUUGCCGCAGUCUUGCUUUUGGAGGAGGAGACAGAGACAGAGACAAAUAGAGAGAGACAGAGAAAGAGACAGUGACAGGGAGAGACAGAGACAGAGAUAGAGUGGGACAGAGACAGAGAGACAGAGAGACACAGAGAGAGAGGAACGGAGAGAGAGAGGGACAGAGAGAGGGGGAGAAAGACAGACAUAAAGAGACAGAGAGAGCGAGAAAGAGAGAGGGAGAGAGAGAGGGACAGAAGGAGACAGACAGGAGACAGACACAGACCGGGAAGUGAGUCCACGCUGCCCUGUGGUGUGGGUGUUUCGUAAGGUUUUUACUGGCUCCCAUCACUGUGUACAUAGGGCCCUAUUAGCAGUUGCUUGGCCAAGAAUAAAGAAUCUCUAAUUCUGUUUUAGAAAUACAAUUUAAGGAGCUGGAGUUUAAAAUAACUGUCCUGAGCUUCGGAAAACUCAUCUCUGGAAACCAUCCAUGGAAGGAUGUUUGUAUCCCCAGAGGGUCUCAUGGGGCAAAAAGCAAGUCAGAUUUUUCUGCAUUUCAGGCAGCGGCUCCUGAAAGGUGCCUCAUGCAUCUCCUUCAGACAGUGACUGCCUUGCUUUUGCGAGAGCCAGGGCCCCUCCAGUGCCCUCAGUCACAUUCUCAACUGCAACCAGAAGGUUUAAAAUCCAGUACUUUGAGUGCUGUAUACCCUCCAUGUGUGUCUGGUUCUGCUUUGUGGAAGCAGCUCGUGUCAGAGAUGCAGCAAGUCCAGCUCCUAAUGCUUAGUGCAGGGGAGGAGACGGGGAGACCGAUAACGCUGCCUUGUCUGCAGGGCAGCCCUGCCUUUUACUUUCAGCCCUUUCUAAAAAUGGCACAUGCAAAGUAAGAAAACAAGUUUAUCUGUUGCUGGGAGGAACACAGGCGGGAGAGGAGUCUAGUCUCCAGCUUGGUGUGAUUUUAUUUUUAUCUUUCACUUUUGCAGCAGAACAUCAGGGGCUAGUGCAAAGCCAGGUCGGCCUGGGCUUCAGGUAGCAUCAUCAGGGUCAUAGAGGUUGAUUUCACCUGGCCCGGGAUGGGGACCGUGUGAAGUUGGGGGUUGAGGAUGAGGAGACUCCUCCGUGGAGUCUCUUUAGAAAAGCCCAGUUGCGUGUGUCUUUGUAACUCAAGAAGACACCAACCCCCGACUGUCCUUCUCUUGAGGCGGUCAGUCAGUUCACAGGGCACUGGUCUGGGAUGUGGGCAGAUAAGCAGCCGGGCCUGCUCCAAGACCCCAGUCGUCCUGCAGCUUCUGCACUUGCCAUCCUGUCUCUGUGCUUCUUAUUUGCACAAGCUCAGGGUAGGGGGGUUGGAGGCAGGAACCAGCAUUUGGAUUCAUGGCUGGGCAAUCCAGAACAGUCGAAGAACCAGGAGAUAAUUUAUGUUUUGUUCUGGGUUACUUAUUUUUAUGGAGUGAUAGUGAGAGAAAUAAUGACUUUAGUUUCCUAAGUAUAAACUCCUUGCGCCGGUAUUAAAAUUCGCAGUUGUUUGCAUUUGCUGAGUGCAUAUCCGCUGUGGGGGAAGAGAACCCAAGGCAGAGUGUGGCAGGGGGUUGAGGGGGAGAAGCCAGGAAUUUAGGUGCUGCUGUGGCUUCUCUCAAAACAGAUUCUAACGACCACAGACUCUCCGAGUUACAUUAAUUGUACCUGAGAAAAAGUAGGCAGGUCGAUGUUUGAUGAAAUCCUGUUAUGAUUGCUUGCAAAGGAAGUUAUUGCCAACACAAUUCUGGAUUUUAACGGAUCUGAUCUGCUUAAAGCAUGAUGCACCCAUGCACACAAUAAGUCAGUGCUUGAGACGAGAGACCUGUUCAGGGAGUCAGACUUAGUUCUUGGAAUGCAGAGCUUGGCAUUUUAGAGAGAGGGUGCUUUGUCCUGCUCAGACUUUACUGCUGUUGGCAUCUUGCCAUCACCUGGAGUGUGGUCUCCGCUGUUUCUGAUCAGCUGCCCUCCUUCCUCUGCAUGCUUAUUGCGCGCUCUGCAUCUGGGGUGAUGCUUAAGCGGAGGUUAGGAAGGUGAACAGUUAGGUGUGAUUUCUGCCUUUGUGGAGCCUAAAGGCUGGCGGGAGACACUGGCAGAGGACACAGAACUGCUGGGCACCAGGCCUUCUCUCCUCUGAUGCUCUGAUGACAGGACCAACCUGGAAGACCCUGGAGCUGGUUCUGUCACCUGGCCCUUGGAGGUGUUUGCAAUUUCCCCAUGUUUUGUAUUGUUAGGGCACCUUACUUUUUGGAAUGAGCAUCACGAUGGCUCUGCUGGUAUCACAGUCGUAAAAGGAACCAUAAACCACCCAGUGCUGCCUCCCACGGCCGCACUCUUGGGGCUGGGGCCUCUUUAGGCAUUUUCCAAGAGGAACGGUCCAUGGGGCCCCUGCUACCUCCUGUUCUCAGAGAGCCAAGGAGUGGGGUGAGUUCCAGCUGCCUGGAGCCCCUGCUUCAGGGUGGAGGUGAGGUCGACCCUGGAAGUCAGUGCCUGGAGCCAAGGGGGCACCCCUACCCAGGCUCUGCGAGGCAGCCUCUCGGGACUGCUGGCUCUCUGCCUUUGGGCUGUAGCCGUCACCCCUGCCUGGUGUCCUGUCAGCGCGGCUCUAGGAGCAGCUGUGGGGGCUGCCUGGGAAGGAGGCGGCGAGCUUGCUGCUGGUUACACAUGGACAUGGAGACAUAGCGGCUUUAUUUUUAGGCUUCGCUAAUUCUCGCUCUCCUCCUAGUUCUCAGCUCCCUGGCAACAGCUUGUUGUCAUGGCAACGCCCAUGUUAAUGAGUGAGGCUCUCGGUGUGUCUGUUCCACCCCGGCCAGGACAGUGGUUCUGCCUGGAGCCCAGGAGAGGAUGGAGGGUUUAUAGUUUUGCUUACAUGGCCCUGAUGCCAUCUCGGUUUGCAGGCCUCUCCUCCAGCCGGGCCCGCAUGGUCUGCCUGGGGAUGCAGCUGGUCAUCAGGGCCUGGUCCUGAAUUCUCAAGGGAGGACACUUCCAACAAGUCCUGGGCGGCUCCUUCCACCCUGGACAUGGGCAGGGACCACUUCUUCGGUGCCUCCUCCCAGUCCCUGCUGCCUUGAAGGACUGGAUUAUAAUUCCCUUGAGGACGGAAGAGGCCUCGAAGUGCUUCCUACCUGCUUCCUCAUAUCAGCAUUCCUUCCAAGAAAGGCCCAGGCUCUUAAUGCACAAUUAGAGAUAAAAGGCUGAAACCGGAGGAGGUGAUGCUUGGAGUGGGCGUUUCUCAGUUGAAAUAUAAUCAGUCCAACAACUAGGAUAAUUGACUGGUUAUCAAACCAUUUUUGCUUUUGAUGGUAGGAAAGGAGAGAAGUUAUUUGCAAGGCAGAGAUUUUGUAAAUAAAGAGAAGAGCCACCACUCCAGGAAAGUUUAGAGCAGUGAUUCUCCCUCCUGCAAAAUUAUCUCGGGAGGGGCGUUCAAAACAUAUCCACUUCCUCUGCCUCAGCCCAGGGAUUGGAAUUCAGUGGGGCCCAACACCCCAAGAUGAUUGCCGUACUGGUUGAACCACUACAACCCAGUUGCAGUCAGAUUAAACCACUGAAAGAUGGAGGCAGACUUGCAGACCCCAGCAUGGAGUUCACUGUUUCUCAGGCCUGGACCAAUGGAAGACAUGUCCUAACUUUAACCUGCAGUGCUAUGUUCUGAAAUAUACAUCAGGAAUUGAGAAGUUUAGGUGC